AAAAAAAAACAGGAGGUCAGAAGUCAGGUUCUUCCACAUGGCAGGGGAAAAAUAGCUGUCAUACUAGGAGCCUGAGUGCAUUAUUUGACAUUGCACUUCAGCUGUGCCCCCACAGAUCACUGUGUUAACACAAAUCCUGCCUCUCCUUCCCCCUGUGUGUGGAAUUCUAAAGGAAAUUAUUAUUAGAGCUGGUGAAGACUUUUCAUUUAUCUUUCAUUACUUUUUCCUCUGUUAAUUUUUCCUUUCCUCUUUCAAAACUUUAUGUGAUGUGAGGAGGCAUGAUCAAAACAGGUUAGACAGAAAAAGUAAAGGCAUAUGUGGCCAGGUUGUAACUGGGUUCAGCAGACCAGCACCUGCAGAAGAAGCCACAGACUUCCCUGUCCCUUCUGCUCCGGGCCGUGACACAAGCAGGUAAUCCAGUGACACUGAGCCUGUGAGCGCAAUGGGACUUUUACCCCUGGGGUCACUGUUGCAUAAACACAACUGCCGACAUCUAAGGGAUAACUGCCCUGACUGUCAAGGAAACAACACUGAAAUGAGUGAUAUGGAGGAAUUCCACAUUUGUUCUGAGCUAUUAAUUUGUCUGCACAAUGGCAAAGCUAGAAAGUCUUGGGGCCAAGAACAGAAACCAAAACCACUCUCCAAAAAUGCUGCAUGA
rnacentral:lncRNA from 1 species